rnacentral:lncRNA from 1 species
GUUUUCCAGGUUUCCAUAGUGACAUAGACGGAAGACCAUGCAUACAGACUUUGAGCAUUUAGGGCGUGUUGUGUCUUAGUGGCAACGAUCAAAACCAUACAAUGAUACAUACAGAUUGCAGAUGGACAUGUUUUCAGAUGUGGAGCAUAUCGAGUGUGGUUACCAUGGAAACAUACAUCUACAUCUGGGAAAAAAUGGUAAAAUGAAUGAACGACGUUCAGAUGUACUGUGCUAUAUAUACAGCAGAUAUGGAGCAACAACUUCAUG